GGAUGUGAGGGCGAUCUGGCUGUGACAUCUAUCACUCCAUUGGUCGCCAGGGUUGAUUCGGCUGAUCUGGCUGGCUAGACGGGUGUCCCCUUCCUCCCUCACUGCUCCAUGUGCGUCCCUCCCGAAGCUGCGCGCUCAGUAGAAGAGGAGGGCCUUCCCCGAAAUAGAGACUGACCGGUUGAAGAGGAUGGCCUUCCCCAAAUAGAGACGGACCAGUCGGUGGAGGGUAUAUGAGUAGCUGCGCUCCCCUGCUAGAACCUCCAAACAAGCUCUCAAGUUAGUAUUUGCUAUAUACUGCCCCCCUGCACUCCCUCCUCCACCAAAGGAAAUGCUAGGCAAUUCUU
ensembl:misc_RNA 7SK 7SK RNA